GCUUGUCUCAAAGAUUAAGCCAUGCAUGUCUAAGUAUAAACGAUUUUAUACGUGAAACUGCGAAUGGCUCAUUAUAUCAGUUAUAGUUUAUUUGAUGGUCUUACUACUUGGAUAACCGUAGUAAUUCUAGAGCUAAUACAUGCACAAAUUCCCGUCAGGGAUGUAUUUAUUAGAUUGAAACCAAUGCGGGGUAACCCGGUAUAUGGUGAUUCAUAAUAACUUUCGGAUCGAUCUUCGGAUCGAUGCAUCAUUCAAGUUUCUGCCCUAUCAGCUUUGGAUGGUAGGGUAUUGGCCUACCAUGGCUUUAAC
rnacentral:rRNA from 1 species